rnacentral:lncRNA from 1 species
CCAGUGUUCUAAAUUUCCUAGAAUCUUAGCAUAAAAGGUCCAAGUUGAAAAGUAUCUCGUGAUAGAAAAGAUUUGCAAUUACCUACUUAUUUAAGCAGAAAAUGCAAACUCUGAAUUUUUUUUUGGCAGAAUCUUUAUUUACAAUUUAGUGGAAGGAUGGGACUAUUUACAUGAAUGUUUCAGUUUCAUGGAUGAUUAUGUAGCAGCUGAUGUAUUAUCACUAGCUUUUCAAUUUGUAUUUGUUAUGUAGACUUAGUCAUAACAGCCCUCAUCCCUCCAAAAAGAAAAAAAAGACAAUUCAGAAAUCUUGCCAGUGAACCCAAUUUCCAUGAUGGUUGAGUGGAAAUUCAAGAUUCAGGAGGGCAGCCUGUUUCUAGGAGAACAUUUUCAGGUUUAUCCAAAAACAACUUGGCAAAACUUGGAAACACUUUACCAAUAGCAGGAUGGCACCGAGUACACAUGUGGCAUGUUCAGGCUUCCAUUCCUGCUACCUGUCUGCCUAGAGGGCAGUAUAUUUCAUAAGGACAACUCAAAGCUGUGUAAAUCUGGUGAGAUCUUAACAAUUGGUCCAUCCUCCCUUUCCCAGCUCUCUUCCCUCCUUGAACAUUCAAAGCUCAGGGAAACUGAAUACCUGACUAAAUUUGUCCACUUGUGGACUCCCCCAAAUGUUUUUUUGCUCUUAAAAAUGUUUUGGUUGCUGUCAUCUAAAUAGUGCAAAUAAAGAGCACUAAGCAAAGUAUAUGGAUCCAACCAUCAGAAUUGUGUAUAUACUUG